rnacentral:rRNA from 1 species
CAAAAACAUCGCCUCCUGCAAAUCUUCAAUGUAUAGGAGGUCCUACCUGCCCAGUGACAUACUGUUAAACGGCCGCGGUAUUUUGACCGUGCUAAGGUAGCGCAAUCACUUGUCUUUUAAAUGAAGACCUGUAUGAAUGGUGGAACGAGGGCUUAGCUGUCUCCCUUCUCCAGUCAAUGAAAUUGAUCUGCCCGUGCAGAAGCGGACAUACAAAUACAAGACGAGAAGACCCUUUGGAGCUUAAGACAAAAAACCAACUGUGUAAAACUCCCACACAAAAUGGAACUCAACAAAACAGUCAACUGGCCAACGUCUUCGGUUGGGGCGACCGCGGGGGAAAACAUAGCCCCCAUGCAGAAUGGGAUAUUUCCCUAAACUAAGAGAGACAUCUCUAAGUCACAGAAUAUCUGACUAUAUAGAUCCGGCCCAAAAGCCGAUCAACGGACCAAGUUACCCUAGGGAUAACAGCGCAAUCCCCUCCAAGAGUCCAUAUCGACAAGGGGGUUUACGACCUCGAUGUUGGAUCAGGACAUCCUAAUGGUGCAGCCGCUAUUAAGGGUUCGUUUGUUCAACGAUUAAAGUCCUACGUGAUCUGA